UUUGUGAACAUACCUAUAACUGUUGCUUCGGCGGGUAGGGUCUCCGCGACCCUCCCGGCCUCCCGCCUCCGGGCGGGUCGGCGCCCGCCGGAGGAUAACCAAACUCUGAUUUAACGACGUUUCUUCUGAGUGGUACAAGCAAAUAAUCAAAACUUUUAACAACGGAUCUCUUGGUUCUGGCAUCGAUGAAGAACGCAGCGAAAUGCGAUAAGUAAUGUGAAUUGCAGAAUUCAGUGAAUCAUCGAAUCUUUGAACGCACAUUGCGCCCGCCAGCAUUCUGGCGGGCAUGCCUGUUCGAGCGUCAUUUCAACCCUCAAGCUCUGCUUGGUGUUGGGGCCCUACAGCUGAUGUAGGCCCUCAAAGGUAGUGGCGGACCCUCCCGGAGCCUCCUUUGCGUAGUAACUUUACGUCUCGCACUGGGAUCCGGAGGGACUCUUGCCGUAAAACCCCCCAAUUUUCCAAAGGUUGACCUCGGAUCAGGUAGGAAUACCCGCUGAACUUAAGCAUAUCAAUAAGCGGAGGAAGG
rnacentral:rRNA from 1 species